CGCCUCUUUCGCGCGCCCCUCUCCCUUCUUCGGCCUUCCUCCGGUCUCUUCGUCUCCCCCGCUUUCCGCCGAGGCCCUUCCCGGCCUCCUCCGCCUCCGGUCCCCUCCUGUUCCGGCCGAAGCCCCUUCUCGGCCGCCUUCCCUCCUUCGCAGUUGACCGGGGAGAUGCUGCGCCCCCCGAUCCAUCGGCCGAAAGGGUUCUCCUCCCUCGGGCAACGACGGCGGGAGGCCGACCCCUUCUUCCCUUCUCCGAAGUGAUGCCGGAGAAGAGGGGGAGGGCCGGGAGGCGAGGUCGGGGCCGGACCUCCUCCGGGGGUCUUCACCGGCUCCGACCACGGCUAGGUAAGGCCGUGGCCCGAGGUAAGUAUUUUAAUAUUUUUUUUUUUGUCUUUCUUCUUCUUCUGUUUCCCUCUUCCCCCUUUUUCCUUUUUUCUUGUGGGGGUCUCGCCACCACCUCUCGCCGGCGGAGAGGCGGGGGCGGAGGCUGGCGGCCUUGGGGGCCGCAUUGGUCGCCGGCAUGGCCAGAACCGGC
rnacentral:lncRNA from 1 species